ensembl:lncRNA
CCAAAACUGAGUCUGCCAGAGCAAUUCCAAGAGAAUAAGAGAUUCCAAAGCUAAAGCAUCCAAAUUGAAUCUGAACUAGUGAGAUAGUGGGUGGGGCAGAAGUGCCUAAGGCAAAGUGAAAAGGAGCUAGGGGUUCCCAUUCUUUCAGGUAUUUUGAAAAAAUAUACCAGUUUCCCCAAUGUUCUAUCUCUUCCCCCCCCCCUUUUUUUUUCUCACGGAAAGGAAUUAUCAAAUGACCAUUCCCCAUAUAAAUCCCAAGAGUGAAUCAAAAUCCCUAUACAUAAUUGACUAGUACAGUAGCAUUUCCUAAAAAGCCCUCCAACAUAACAGCAGUAAUUACACAGUUUUAACAAAUCCCAUCCCAAAUCUUAAACACACCGUGAUAGAUGAUCCAGGCAAGGUUUAACAGUCAGUCAUGAACCAUUCUCAAAGUCCCUCAUAUCAGUCCAAAGUACACUAGAUGCAGGGUCCAGUCCAUGGUCUCAUUUAAAAACUGCUGCUUCAGGCUGUGAAGUGAUAGGAGGCUCUCAUUCCAUGCAGAGUAGGUGUGCCAUGCUGACAAUCAAAGCUGAUUAAAGCUGAUAAAGAUUAGAUCAGUCUCAGAUAGAAAGACUGUUUACCAGACUGCUGCAAAAUAUGAGGAGGCCAAAAUAAAUUGCUUCCUAUAUGAAGAGAUGAGUUUGCUUUACAGGCCAGGCAAACGGCUGCAGUCUUAUAGACCCCUGUUAAUUGUCCUCUUAUCAUGUAGAAACCUUAAAGAAACAAAACACAAAUAUCCAGUAACAGAGAGAUGACCAGGAGAGGACUCCCUUCUCCCACUCCUGCCCCCUAAGAAAAAACUUCCCUCAGGUUUCCCAACCAAUGUCCUACAUGGGGAUCCUUUUCAAGAUUUAGCCCAUCAGUUUAUUUACUUUCUUCCCAAAUCUACCAAGUUUCAGACCUUCUCUUUCCUUUUUCCUCCAAAAACCUUAAGAUUCACACUAUAUAGUGAAUAGCCCAAACUUCCACAAAACCCACACAUGUCCAGCAGAGCCAGAUUUAAAGUAUAAUUUAUGUUAACAAAUAACUCAAUAUAUUUCAGAAGGUAACAAACUCUGAACCAAAUUAAUACAGCUGUUUUUAAAAGUUUUUUUUUUUUUUUUUGGCCACAUUUCUACUAACAGCUUCUAACAGCAUCUUAUCUCCAGAGCUUUUGAAUUUUAUUGCUCUUUACUCUAAUAGGCUCUGUUUCAAGGGGGAAAAAAACUUUCCUGUCUGUUUAAAAUAUCUAAAUUCCAUUUACUUACAGAAUUAGUACAUCAGGUUAAAAGUUUUAAAAUCACAAGCAUAUUUUCAAAUAACCAAUUCCCAAAUUCCUUUAUCAUUGUUCUUAAAACUUAACAAAGCUUUUACAUCAGCAAACAGACUAGGGGGCGUUUCCAAGAUCUCUGCCCCGGAGGAGAAGUUUGUUUCACCUUGAAUUCCCUUUUUCCCUUCCAGAAUCCAAAGGGGCUUCUGUGAAUUUCCACACCCUUUUAGUGCUUUUCUCUGCCUUCACAGAGAAUGCCUAGAUAUUCCAUUCAAACUUCUUUUCUUUAAAUGUUAGCAUACUGCUCUUCUAUAUAUAUUUUUUUAACUUUCCAAAUUUUCAAAUCCCUUUCAAUCAAUUUUUUUCUUUUUUAUUUCUUCCCUUCUCUCCCUUUUUCUCACAGGCUGCUACAGUCAGCCAGAGAGAGAGAGAGAGAGAGAGAGAGAGAGAGAGAGAGAGAGAGAGAGAGAAAGAGAGAGAUUUUUCAAAUUCUUGAUAUUUUCUAAGCUUGCAACACACAGGCUGAAUUCAUAGCCUAUAGAACAUAGAACACACAGUUACAACAUUAAACAUAUAACACAUACCCAGAGGAUAUUUUCCAGCAUCCCAGAAAAUACCCAUAUCAGAACUUUUAAACCUGUCGGUAUUUAUUCUGAGACACCAGCUUGGUAGCAAACACCCAGAACAGAACCAGAAUAACCAGAACCAGAACCAGAUGGUACCCCAAAAGGCACCCAGACAGACUUACUCUCCCAAAUGCCUAAUCAAUAUCAUUGCCCACUGUAGGCUUGACUGAGGCUGAAGAACUGCUUCCUUUUUCAAGUCAGCGGAGCUAAAGGCUAAAAGAUGAAGAAAAGCCAUUGAAGCUUUGGGAGGAGGGUCAUACAGAAUCCUUUUCAUUGUUAUGGGAGCCUAAUUGGGGCCUAGAAUUGGUGCACUUAAGGGCACCUUUUAAGAAAGAGGAACUGUCCUGAAUUACUUUGUUAAUAUAAAAAUCAUUAAGGCAAUCAACUCUUUUUCACCUUUUCUCAUCAAUGGUUCCUUCCUGCGGGAACCAUGGGCAGACAUCUUCUAAAAACUUAAAAAUUUUACAAGUUCUUUUUUCUUAACCUUUACUCUACGCGUCCUUAAUGAGUCUUUGAGACCCUCAAUAAAUCUAUCAUAUACACUAAUUUCUUCUCUCUCUUGGUAUCGAAGCCUCUUACCACCCAGGUCUCUGUUCCUCGGGGCAGGCGGACCCGUAGCGACCUUAUUCUCUAAAUUCUCCGGGACUGUGCAGUCUUUUUGUUGAGAGGUUCGAUCUAGCAAUGGCUACUCC